rnacentral:pre_miRNA from 1 species
UUAACUCAAAUUUGUAUGCAGUUGGAACCUAGCGGCAAACGUAGGCAAACGUUCCAACUCCAUACAAAUUUGAGUUA